CGCUUCAAGACAUUGGUCUAAGCAAACAUUCUAUCAGUAAGACCUCAAAAGCAUAGGAAACGAAUUCAAAAAUAGACAAAUGGGUGUAUCAAACUAAAAAGCUUCUGCAGAGCUCAGGAAACAACCAACGGUGUUAUGACCUACAGAGGCAGGGAGAAACAUUUGUUACCUAUUCCUCUAACAAGGGUUUGAUCAUCAGAAUAUAUGAGGAACUCAAACAGCUCAGAGCCUUUGAUGGAGAAAUGAAGAGGUGCUGCUACGUAGAGAAAUAAAGAAGUCAGAGGGAGGAAGUUUGGGAGGAACAAACCAUGCUUUCCAGGUAUUGGGAGGCUCUGUUUCUCUCUCUGACUUAGUUAACUGUUUUUAAUACAUCUCCUUCAGUCUGCUUCCCACAUGGGGUCAUUGCUCCUGUGAUGGCCCUAUUGGUUCCUCUUGUCAACCAAGUCAGAGAAUGGAAGAGCUUUCAUUCCCUGAGCAUCUUCUUCUUCACACACAAUGAACAAAUCCACACCAUUCUACCACAGAGUCCUUUUUAUCAAUGUCUCCUGUCCAACGCUACAGUCCAAGCUCAGCUGGUUUCCUCAGCUCAGCACUUCAUGGAUUAUGACAGCAUAACUCCAAUCCCUGCCUCUAUCUCUGGGCUGGUUUCCCAUUAUUACUGCAGAAGCCCCCAUUCUGUGUGAACAGACACAGUGACACACCAGACACCCCCUCCAGCCUGGCCCCUGGAGGAUCUGAAUGGAGAUUGGGACUCCGCAGGGUUGCCCAGGAACAUGGUUUCACACAUUCUCCUGUAGGAAAUCCAUAACCACUAUCACCACGUGGUCAUUUCCAGCAUCUUGGGAUGUAGAGGAUGCCGGCUGGUCCCUGCAGUGGCAGAUCCUGUGGCAACUCUGGAAAUCCUGUGAAGAACUUACGGAGGCCCUGUGAAGAUCCUAUGGAGAUCCAGUCGAGGUCCUAUGAAGAUCCACGGAGAACCUAUGGAUGUCCUGCAAAGAGGUAGAACACACGGGCUGGGAAAGGAAAGGAGCGUGUCAUCAACAGCCCCCAUCACCACCCCUCCAGGUGACUCACUGGGCAGAUAAGCACGUCCUGGGCCUGCACUUUUAG
rnacentral:lncRNA from 1 species